UCAGUUUGAUCGAAGUUUGCGAUUUGCAAUUUUGCAUGUCCUGACUCCUGAAAAGGCCUCACCUUGACGACAAAAAGUACUGCCACGUGGAUAUUCUUCAGCACUAGAUCGCCUACUGAGCUUACUGACUGAUUAUCGCCAGCCAGCAUUAGCCAUUUGCAUGCAGUAAAAGACACCAGAGCCAGAAUAGUAGACUGACCGAUGUCGGGAGAAACGCGGGAUCGAACUUUUGCAGUUGGCGGGAACGCGUCGUAAUUUGAAAAAUAAACGAACUGAUUGUAGUUCUGCCCGGCCAGUAAUUGGGGAAGCCCGCCAGCAAGAAAACAGUAAUAUCAACCACAAUCAAAUUUCAGCAAUUGAAAAGCAGACCAUUUAUAGUGACGCAAAUACUUCCUCCUCUAGUAGUCCACCGGUAAAAUGAGUGUAACCCCUACCAUUUAGAUAGAUACCGGUGGAGAGUUGAUUAAUUUCAAACCAAAUUUGGUCGCCCUUUUUCAACCUCAGCGUUGAUGGCAGAGAAAAGGUUCUCCAUGUGCCUCUUAGGGCGAACGCAUUAGCGUGACAAUAUGUGAUGUCCUUGCCAUUUAACUUCAGCGCAAUGUAGAGGAGUAGUCUAUAAGAAGAUUCCGGAAACCACGCCAAUCCGUUCAGGUUGAAAAAGUAAGUCCCUGUUGUCGUUGCCGUGAAUUUCCCCGUUGAUGUAUUCAUAGCUCCGCCCACAUUUACUAGUUCUUCGUCGAAUAUAAUUGUUGUAUUUGCUUGACUGAAAACAUCGUUCUUGUUUCUCCUGACAAAGAAGUAAGUCGGUGUAGAUUUGAUAUCAGAAAAUCCAAUUCGCGUUUCAAAACCUAUAUUAAUUAAAUCAUAAAAGUCAUUCCAAUGCUCCUUCUUUUGAGCAAAUCAAAGUAUUAUAUCAGAGGAUGAACUUACUGGGAUCGAAAGUUAAUUUGGAAAAGUCGCAGUAGACUGUUUCGACAUACUUAGCUCCCAUUACCGAGUACACUCCAUUGAAUUGGUGUCCUAGACUUUUAAGAUCCAAGCAGGAAGUGGGCAUUUUUGUUGCUAGUCCUUGUCUCAUAGUAGCGUUACUUGGGGUUAAUUGACUGUUGAUUGAAGGAGCAUUCCCAAUUCCUUGCUUUAGAUUUACAAUCUUUAUAGUUCGUUAAUAUCCGGUUUAACAGUGAAAGCGAUGACUUACAUGUUUCUGGUCUUUUAGUCUCAAAAGUUCUUCUAACUGAGCAUCUUUAGCUUCUAGUUGAACAAUUUUGAUAUCCAUAAGUUGCUUUAGGUGAACCUUGCAAUUUAAAUAGUUUUAACAUUAAAGCUAACCUAAAUGAAAUUUAAUUAAAUAAAACAUUUUUGAUUUAUUACAUAGCUUUCCUUCAGUUGCUGUAAUUCUUCUUCUAACGUGAGUUUAGCUGCGCAACUCGACCAGGUAAAAGACAAAAUUAGUAUAUAGAAUAACGCUGUCGAUAGUGGAGCCAUUUUGCGAUGGCCCCAAGUCGGAAGGUUCCGUUUUCCCAACUGAUUUAGCGACAAGGAUUCGCUAUGGGUUUAAAAGGCUCUUUGACUAAAUCAUUCAAUUUUUCGUAAACAUAUUGACUUGGUUGCGUUUUACACAGUUGCAGCUGGUGUAUCUCCUUGAAAGGAACAAACUCCAUACGAGACUGGUGCGGUCUGAGAGGAUUCGAAACUUCUGUUACGAAUAAUCAUGUGGUAAAUAUUUUUCUUUUGUGGUUUUAUUUCAAGGUAUUUCGCAGCAGUGCACCGACAGCUGUUGAUUGAAUUUCCUACUGAGCUGUUGACUCAUGGCCCUCUUUUUGUCAAAGAAUUUUAGGCUGUUUGAGGACAUGGCUAUUACAUUUCUUUCCCUCCUUUUUGUAAUGGCAAAACUCGAGUGAUACCGGAGUGCAGUUGCAUGUGUAAGCAACUAUGAGAUGUGUUUUUACAGAAGAUGAAAUAACAAAAGUCGAAUUGAAUUCAUUUGAUUUUCCUUCUAGAUGUCUGGUUUGUAAAGACUUGGCAGUUGUCCGAUGCCGUUGUAAAAACCGAGCAAAUACUUGAUGCUGAAAAUUAAAAAUAAAUUAAUAUGUGAAAUUAACAUGAUUGCCAAUAAAACACACCUAUUUGGAAUUCAUCAAA